UACGUAGGGUGCAAGCGUUGUCCGGAAUUAUUGGGCGUAAAGAGCUCGUAGGCGGUCUGUCGCGUCGGCUGUGAAAACUCGGGGCUCAACCCCGAGCCUGCAGUCGAUACGGGCAGACUAGAGUCCGGCAGGGGAGACUGGAAUUCCUGGUGUAGCGGUGAAAUGCGCAGAUAUCAGGAGGAACACCGGUGGCGAAGGCGGGUCUCUGGGCAACAACUGACGCUGAGGAGCGAAAGCGUGGGGAGCGAACAGG
rnacentral:rRNA from 1 species